rnacentral:rRNA from 1 species
GAGUUUGAUCCUGGCUCAGGAUGAACGCUGGCGGCGUGCUUAACACAUGCAAGUCGAACGAAGCACCUUGAUUUGAUUCUUCGGAUGAAGAUCUUGGUGACUGAGUGGCGGACGGGUGAGUAACGCGUGGGCAACCUGCCUCAUACAGGGGGAUAACAGUUAGAAAUGACUGCUAAUACCGCAUAAGACCACAGCACCGCAUGGUGCAGGGGUAAAACUCCGGUGGUAUGAGAUGGACCCCGCGUCUGAUUAGGUAGUUGGUGGGGUAACGGCCUACCAAGCCGACGAUCAGUAGCCGACCUGAGAGGGUGACCGGCCACAUUGGGACUGAGACACGGCCCAAACUCCUACGGGAGGCCAGCAGUGGGAAUAUUGCACAAUGGGGGAAACCCUGACUGCAGCGACGCCGCGUGAGCGAUGAAGU